rnacentral:rRNA from 1 species
GACGAACGCUAGUGGCGCGCUUAACACAUGCAAGUCGAGCGAAGCUGCUGACGGGUGAGUAACACGUGAGUAACCUGCCUUAGACAUUGGGAUAGCCUCGGGAAACCGGGAUUAAUACCAAAUGGUCUAAGAUGGACUCGCGUGCCAUUAUCUCGUGGUGAGGUAACGGCCCAACAAGGAGACGAGGGGUAGCCGGCCUGAGUGGGUGAACGACCACAUGGGACCUGGGAUACGGCCCAGACUCCACGGGGGGCCGCUGGGGGGGAUAUUGCACAAUGGUGGAAAGCCUGAUGCAGAGGCGCCGCGUGGGGGAUGAAGGCUUUCGGGUUGUAAACCUCUUUCGCUAUCGAACGGGUAGGUGGAGAAGAAGCGCCGGCUAACUACGUGCCAGCCGCCGCGGUAAUUC